rnacentral:rRNA from 1 species
UACGGGGGGGGCAAGCGUUGUUCGGAAUUACUGGGCGUAAAGGGCUCGUAGGCGGCCAACUAAGUCGGAUGUGAAAUCCCCAGGCUUAACCUGGGAACUGCAUCCGAUACUGGAUGGCUUGAAUCCGGGAGAGGGAUGCGGAAUUCCAGGUGUAGCGGUGAAAUGCGUAGAUAUGUGGAGGAACACCGAUGGCGAAGGCAGCCCCCUGGGCUAACACUGACGCUCAUGCACGAAAGCGUGGGGAGCAAACAGG